GUCUGAGUGGCUCAGACGGUUAGGCAUCCGACUUCAGCUCAGGUCAUGAUCUCACGGUUCGUGGGUUUGAGCCCCACCUUGGGCU
rnacentral:tRNA from 1 species